rnacentral:rRNA from 1 species
CCCUUAGAUGUUCUGGGCCGCACGCGCGCUACACUGAUGCAUUCAACGAGCCUAUCCUUGACCGACAGGUCCGGGUAAUCUUUGAAUCUGCAUCGUGACGGGGAUAGAUUAUUGCAAUUAUUAAUCUUCAACGAGGAAUGCCUAGUAGGCGCAAGUCAUCAGCUUGCGUCGAUUACGUCCCUGCCCUUUGUACACACCGCCCGUCGCUCCUACCGAUUGGGUGUGCAGGUGAAAUGUUCGGAUCGGCCGUUUGUCGCGGUUUCCGCGUCAUGUGGCUGAGAAGUUCAUUAAACCCUCCCACCUAGAGGAAGGAGAAGUCGUAACA